GCCGGAAUAGCUCAGUUGGCAGAGCAGUUGCUUCCUAAGCAAUUCGUUGGAGGUUCAAGUCCUCUUUCCGACACCA
rnacentral:tRNA from 1 species